rnacentral:rRNA from 1 species
AGAAUCAACGCUGGCGGCGUGCCUAACACAUGCAAGUCGAACGAGAAAGUGGGAGCAAUCCCAUGAGUAAAGUGGCGCACGGGUGAGUAACACGUGACUAACCUACCCUUGAGUGGGGGAUAACCUAGGGAAACCUGGGCUAAUACCGCAUAAUACCUACGGGUCAAAGGAGCAAUUCGCUUUAGGAGGGGGUCGCGGCAGAUUAGUUAGUUGGCGGAGUAAUGGCCCACCAAGACAGUGAUCUGUA